GGAGUCAUAUUAUAAGUUUUAAGUAUGGGGCUUUGUCAUUGCUUCGGUUUGGGCUCUU
rnacentral:tRNA from 1 species